GAUAUAUGGUCGGCACGUCUGGUAGCAUCUCUGGCUGCUGUUGACCUUGUUUUUGGGAUAAAACACAGUGGAAGCUGAAUUAGUGAGGAUGACUCCUGCUCCUGUCAUCUCUAAGCUCCUCACACAUCUUUACCUGCACAUGAGGAAAAUCACUCCUGUAGAAUGCAGAUGCACAAUGAGGGACGUCUGCAGAGACUGAGAAAGAGUCUCACCACAUCCUGACAUGAGGAAAAAGACUUUAUUGAAGACUACAAUGAGAAAAACUAUCAGACAGCAGACAGCUGCAUUCAAGUCUGUAGCUGCUGAAUUCAUGGAUGAAUCAUCUGGCACUAGAGAAGAAGACCAUCAAACAUCCACGUCAGCUGAUGGAGGUCCAAGAGUCUCACCAAACAAACAACCUACAGAGUGAAGACCUCAAAUCUGAUUGGACGGCUUCCUAUUCAGCCACGUGUGAACAAAUGCCUCUAAGCUGAUUUGUUUUCUAAAAUAAAUCUAGUUUGAGUCCUAAUCUAUGCCUGUGUGUUUGCUUUUUUACACUGCUGUUAACAG
ensembl:lncRNA